UCCUCGGCACAACAUAAUACAAAAUAUGAACGCAUAUCUGCACUGCAAUUAGCCAUCACCUGUGCUAAAACAGUUUGCACUACUUGAAGCACAGGACAUUGCUAAUCAAAUUCGUUUUCUACUUAUUUUUCUAAACACGUAUUACAGAACUACUUAAUUUAAAUUUACUAAUUAAAAAUCAAAUUGUUUGGGAAAUGGUUCCAUGGUGCCGUAUACCGAAUAGGGCUACCGUAUGGGAUGGCAAAUAGUAAUGGUGAAUUUAGUUAAAUUAUUAUUGAAAUAAUGUGUAACCCUGGACAACUGGUUUGUUAUGCUAUCACGUGCAAUAGUACACGACUAAAUUAAUCACUACAUUCAUUAAAAUAGUAGCAGUUAAAAAAUGAUCUGCUGGAAAUUCGUUUUACAUGUCAACUUACAGCUAUCACAAGCAAACGCGUUUACAACAAAAAUUUAUGUAUUAUUUAUAUCUGGUGUCCGUUACCAGGUGGAAACAAUUACAUUAAUAGAAUUUAAACGAAGAUCUCUGCGGAGCACACUGAGGGACACGCAGAAGGACCUGCCUCUUCAAAAGUCAGUGUGAGACAUCAGUGGCUCCGUCGAAGUCGGUGGUGGUGUUGCCAGGGCAGGUGAUGCAGAAGUUCUGGCUGAAAUCUGAUUGGUAGGUGCCAGACGGGCAGCGGAUGCAGCGUUCUGUACGGACCCACCUGAGGCUUCCUCCCCCUCCAUCUCCAUCUCGAACUCCGCUGUGAUGUGGGACACCUCCUUCGAGGGAGAUUUCCGACCUCGCCGACGCUUCUUCGACGACUCGCACCUGAGGUUGACGAA